AUGGCCACAGCUUUGUCUAGCAUUUAUUGUCCAUCUAUUGUAACCUCAGGCAGAGGUUCUUGUGAGGAGAAACAAGGAGGAGAACCGAAACCAAUAUAUUGGCCUUCUGGAAGAGACAUGAAUUCUUUGACAACACCACCAUGAGGAAAAAGAAAAGAAGAACAAUAAGAAGAUCUUGGGGUUGCAUGUUGGAUGCUUUACAUGAUAGGAGACAAUCACUACAGACUAACUAUUGAAAACUAGUGAUAUAUGUGUUGGAUGCUUCUUUACAUGAGUGGAUUAUGGCCAUGGAUUGACAAUUAGAAAUCACAAAGUCACAUUUGCUUCAAAAGAACACACACACACACACACUUAAUGAUGUUAAGCAGAUGUGUGUUCAUUAUCUUGUUGUACAUUAGUUGUUGCUUGAAUGGUCAGUGUGUCAAAAACAAGAGCCACCAAUUGAUAGCUCUACAUCAACCAAGCUCUUACAAAGAGACCUCA